rnacentral:rRNA from 1 species
UGAGUAACCUGCCCUUAACUCUGGGAUAAGCCUGGGAAACUGGGUCUAAUACCGGAUAUGACUCCUCAUCGCAUGGGUGGGGGGUGGAAAGCUUUAUUGUGGUUUUGGAUGGACUCGCGGCCUAUCAGCUUGUUGGUGAGGUAAUGGCUCACCAAGGCGACGACGGGUAGCCGGCCUGAGAGGGCGAUCGGCCACACUGGGACUGAGACACGGCCCAGACUCCGUACGGGAGCAG